UAACUAUGCGUGUACAUUACCGCGGCGAUUUACCGAACUACGUAUCUUAACCUAUACACAGCGCAGUUCUCGACGAGCCGUGUUUCAAUGAAAGCCCCGGCAACAAAACCCCCCGGGGCCGGAUCGCCGCCGUCAAUCGACUUUUGACGAAUCGAGACGUCGCUGCACUUUCCGAGGCCACGUAGCGUUGCCGAUUCUGUGUGCGGUCCGACCAAACACCGUUCCAUUCUACUUACGAACGUUGUCCCCGCAUUUCAGUCGAACGGAUUCCACAUUCAAACGUCAGUUCCUUUCGCCGGAAGAAUUUCUACCGAUUUCUGUCGAUCAAAUUUAUCUAAAUUGUACAUAACCCUACCACGCGGAUCAAUAUGAACGGUCUCGCGUUUGUUAUUUUCAAAGUGUCGACAUUAUGAAGACUUUAAAAAAAACACAAUUGGAUAAGUUUCCUUUUCCAGACUUAUGUUUUACUAAAAAUUGCAAAAUGUCCAAAUAAAUUCAAUCUUGUUAUUCUUAUAAA